rfam:Myotis davidii contig216980, whole genome shotgun sequence.
GGAUGCUUUUUGGAUGAUGCACCCCGGAAUCAGGCUCCCUUCUCUCUGGUUCUGGGUGCAUCACCUGAAAACUGCA